rnacentral:misc_RNA from 1 species
GAUGAAGAACGCAGUGAAAUGCGAUAAGUAAUGUGAAUUGCAGAAUACAGUGAAUCAUCGAAUCUUUGAACGCACAUUGCGCCCCCUGGUAUUCCGGGGGGCAUGCCUGUCCGAGCGUCAUUACAACCCUCAAGCUCAGCUUGGUAUUGGGCCCCGCCGACCCGGCGGGCCCUAAAGUCAGUGGCGGUGCCGUCCGGCUCCGAGCGUAGUAAUUCUUCUCGCUCUGGAGGUCCGGUCGUGUGCUCGCCAGCAACCCCCAAUUUUUUUCAGGUUGACCUCGGAUCAGGUAGGGAUACCCGCUGAACUUAAGCAUAUCAAUAAGCGGAGGA